UCUCUCUUCUAAGAACAACCACGUCAGAUUAUUUUUAUGGUUGUGGGACCCGCGCGAUUUCCGGUUAAGCUGGUCGGAUGAUUGAUUUGUUUGAUUGUCGUCGGUUUGGUUUUAUUAAAAUCACAGCAGCAUCUCGGACUGGGCUCCUUUGUUCUGUUGGGUCUGGGCCUCUCUAUUUGUUGUGAUCCAAGGAAAACAUGUGUUUUGCUUAACUUCGUUCAAGUCGCCACCUUCGUUCUCUUUGUCUUCCUCGACGAACCUGUUCAUCCCUUCGCCUUUUCUCAAGCUUUAAUCUGUUCUUAAAUUCGAGAAUAAAUGUUGUGUUAAUUACACAAAACUCUGAAACGUCUUUUCCUCUGUUGAUAGUUGUCAUUAAACCCAGUGACGAUGUUGUCUCUUCCGUUUCCUUCACUUGAAAUCAUAUAUAUCAGGGGGUUGAAAUCACGAUUGAUCCUCAGAACCACGCAAUCAGCCUUUGACGCCUCAGUUGAUCUGCCCAGUUCAUUGUUGGUCGUCUGCUCCGUUUUCUGGGACUCGAAAAACAUCUAGAAGCAUGGGCUUCUGUAAUGGUCAGCAACGGGAAAACAGAUAAAGAUGUUUCUGCCGAUUCAACGACUUCUGUUCUCAAUGAAGAGAAGGGAAACUGUGAGGAGACUUUUCUAGAGAAAGAGAUACUUUUAGCCAAUAAAGAGAUACUGAGGCUAUGGCUCAGGAAGAAGAGCAGCUGCUCAAACUUCGGGAAGAUGAGGAGAAAGCCAAAUGUGCUGCAUCCGGUGAAGCUCCUGAUAUGAAUGAUACCCAGUUUACUAAACUGGAUGAGCUCUUGACUCAGACCCAGCUCUUUCUUCUUGAGAAAAUGGAGGAUAUCACAAAAGUAAAUCUUCUUUUUGCCUUUUAGUUUGGUUGGUUAAAGAAGGUGAUUUUUCUUAAUUGAGUUAGUGUGCUUGGGUUUUAAGAAAGCUUCAAGAAUGAAGAAAAGAUUGCUACUUUGGAUUGUGGGCAGGAGUAUCAUGCUCAACGAUUGGAGAAGGACUGAUUGUGAAGAACAUUUACCUAUCUGUAAAUCAGAAGCAUUGGCCAUGAAGAAGAUAAACGUAUAGUAUGAAGAAGAAUGACUUCUUUUAAUCUAAUGGGGUUUUUUUAGCAAAUUUAAUGGGUUUAUUUAUAUAUUUUUAUAUAAAAAGUAAACUUACUUUAAGAGUAGAAAACAGAGUUUUGUUUUCAGCUCCAAAAGGAUUCUGUAAAUUUGUACAUUAUUUUUGUUUGUGCACAUAACAAUGUAUGAAUGGUCAAAAACUUUCUUCUUAUUUGGUUUCUUGGCUAAGUGAACACACAGGAAGCUUUAUAUUAUUUACUAUGUCUCUUCCACUUGCUGCAGCAACAAACUAAACAGGUAAUCACAGUGUCACCGUUGUUGUAAAGUAAGAAGGGAUAAA